UUUGGGCAAAAAAGGGAUCUUACCAGACCUAAUGGCCAGGUGAGCUAAAAAUAAUUAAUCUAUUAACAAAUUAGGUUUUCAUAUGAUUAUCUUAUUUAUGUUGAACAUUGACACAAAAAGCUGAAAGAUAAGAUUUUCAUGUGAAAAAUGUUCUAAUGGAAAUAGUGAACUUGAGUUAUCCCCCUUAAUUGAUGAAGAGGAUUUUUCUUGUCCUGACAAUAAAGUAUUCGGACAUUCACCUAUUCCAUAUGACUGAAUAGAGAGGGUAAAAGGGGGUGGGGUAUCUGCACAGAAGAAAGGGAAAUAAAAUUGCCAUUUCAUAAUGAACAAACAAUUAAAUAUUUUCUUGCACGUUGAUCUUUUUACGGAUUUCACGAAACACGGUUAAUAACCAACCUUUUUCACAGCUGCACAUGAAAUAAAAAUGGCAAAACAGGUUGCACGAAAAUAACCCUCUACCACCCUCUGAAUACUUUGAUACACAAGACCUUGUGAGACCUUAUGUGUUAAAAUUAACUUUCAGCAAUAUAAAC
rnacentral:lncRNA from 1 species